rnacentral:rRNA from 1 species
UACGAAGGGGGCUAGCGUUGUUCGGAAUUAUUGGGCGUAAAGAGCUCGUAGGCGGUCUGUCGCGUCGGCUGUGAAAACCUGGGGCUCAACUCCGGGCCUGCAGCCGAUACGGCAGACUAGAAUUCGGUAGGGAGACUGGAAUUCCUGGUGUAGCGGUGAAAUUCGUAGAUAUUCGCAAGAACACCAGUGGCAAAGGCGGCUCACUGGCCCGAUACUGACGCUGAGGCACGAAAGCGUGGGGAGCAAACAGG